rnacentral:lncRNA from 12 species
UACCCUAGCACAGCUCAUUCAAGCAGAGGUAGAAUUUGAAUCCAAGUCUUUGGGCUUCCACUUCUAUAUGAUUACUCCUGUUUGUUACUUCUCUUCCUUACGUUAACCAGAAAAAAUAGUUUUAAUCGUCAACAUCAACAUCUUUGAAAUUAAACAGAAACAAAAACUCUUUCCCACUCUGUCAAGAAAACCUUGGAAUUUAAGUGUUAGAAACUUAGAUCUUACUUUUCUUUACAAUAGCUAUAAAUGUACUUUCUCUUAUGAAUUAGAAUUAAAUGCUUCUCUUUAUUUUUCAGAGGAGUUGUAUUAUCAUUAAUAAAUAGAUGAACCUCUGCACAGGGAAGAAAUUUUUUAGUUAAUCGAAAACUGAGUAAUCAGUCUGCAAAAUUAAGAGGAGGAGUAAUGGGGGCUUGGAAGGGAGAACUGCAUUAUGUUGCUUUGUGUCAUAGUGUAAUUACACAACACUAGGGAAGGUUCUAUGGCUCAGUCUUCUGACAAAGGUGCACAUUGUAGUGAUGCCUAUGAAUCGACUUUACAAAGACCAGCUAUCCAGAAAGAGGGCUUUAUAGAUGGAAGAAAUUUACUGAGGUAUGCUCCUCCCAUACUAACAGUUAUGAGACAGAAAGAAGAGAACUUGGGGAGUCCAUAAAAGUUGAUGUAGAAGACUGAAGGAUGUGAUCAUUUCCCAAAGCGGAGGACGUCCUGACAGGGCAACUGUAGCAGGUACCCCUGGUAUUCAUAAUCUGCGCUAGGAACUCACUUGCUGGUGGGUUAUGUCUGUGAGAUAAGGCAUGGCUGGACAAUAAAAGGCCACUGGGCUUCCA